AUAAAAUGGCUUGCUCAAGAAACCAGGUUUGAAGUGGAGGUUUGCCGUCACUCCCCAGAUCUGUAUGGAAGUGUCAGAAGUGGAGUCAGCUAGUUAGUUCACCCCAAUAGGUACUGAGAGCUAUUAAGUCUGUACCACUGUGUCGGGAGAGACCAGGAGGAAUCGAGCAGAGCAUGGUCUAAUAAACAGAGAAGGCUCAGGAGGGUCAGAAACACGGUGCCUCAUUUCUCAGCCUACUUGCCAAGAAUUCCCAAAAAGGAAGCACUGGAGGAUCAUUCCAAGGCUUGAGGUCCAGGACUACCCACUUCCCUUGGAAUGGUGUUGCCAUCACUGUUCUGGCACCGGAGGUAAGGAUUCUACAUCGUUAGGAGAAAAGAAAAAGGAGAAUUUGGGCUUGCACUGAGAGGAUUACCUUUGGUGGUCUGGAAGUGGUGGCUGCACAGGGAGCAUGGCUGGGAGGCCUCAGGAAACUGACAAUCAUCAGUAGAAGAUGAAGAGGAAGGAGGCGCAUCUUACAUGGCCAGAGAAGGAGGAAGAAUAAGAAGGGGAGAGUGCAGAGAGGAGGCGAGACCAAGCCUGCCCAGAGUUGGAGUCUUGAGACGUGAGAUUCUCCAGCUGGAGCCCUAUAAAUUGGACUGACAAAAGACAGAUUAGCAAGAGAAAUGCAAGCAGCAGUUUAUUAACAUGUGCAUCAUGAUUACACAUGGAAGUACCCAGAGGCAGAAUUAAAGAUUCAAGAUGUACCUACUUCUUCCGGGGACAACAUUCAUGAUUCUUAAAGAUUUCACAAGUGUACCUUCUAAGGGUAAGUGGCUGGAAGUAGUAAGAGGUCAAUGCCAAGUGAAAUCCUCUGGCGUUUUCUUCUGACAACCAGGAGUCUGCAAAGUGAGUUUGCUGGGAGCGUCCAGUUUUUUCAGCUUAACGUUAGGUGUACUUUCUGUCUUCGGCACAAAUUGUUUCCAAAUGCCUGUGGGUUGCAAUAUGAUUUUCCCAUCUUGAAAAUCUAUUAAAAAGGAAGAGAUUCUUCACUUCUCCCCACCCCACCUCCAGGCACUGCAGAUGGCGAUUAACACCCUACACAGCCCCUCCCCAUAGCAUCAUCGAUUUUCUGCCUGCAUUGCAUCUACUUCACAGUUCGAGACAUGCCAAAUCACACACGUUCUAAGUACUUGUUGCUAGCAACAAAUCUCUGUUCCUCAGUGGCCAAGCAGACUAUAUUUGGAAUGUCAGAGCACCUAGCCCUUCCCUGGCCCACUUCCUUUAGCUCAGAAGUCUCCAAGCCUGAAAGUAACCUCACCCGUGUUUCCUUGAGUUCUGCUUGUUGAAGCAACUCUUUGGAUUAACUCCGCAAAACACAAAGUGACAGCAAAACAGAGAAACAAUCAGAUUCUUUUCCAUGAACUCCUUUCUUUUCUAUAAAAGUGUUAUUAAUCCCUAUCUUAUGGGACAAUUGUGAAUGUAUUUAAUGAGCUCAUCAAAAUAUACAUACACAUACAUAUAUAUAUAGAGGGGGGGGGUUGGGGGGAGAGAGAGAGAGAGAAAGAGAGAGAGUCUCACUCUGUGGCCCAGGCUGGAGUGCAGUGGCACAAUCUCAGCUCGCUGCAACUUCCAUCGUCUCCCAGGUUCAAGCAAUUCUCCUGCCUCAGCCUCCCAAGUAGCUGGGAUUACAGGCGCUCGCCACCAAGCCCAGCUAAUUUUUUUUAUUUUUCUUUUUGGAGACAGAGUCUCGCUCUGUUGCCCAGGCUGGAGUGCAAUGGGGCAAUCUCGGCUCACUGCAACCUCCGCCUCCCGGGUUCAAGCAUCCUGCCUCAGUCUCCCUAGUAGCUGGGACUACAGGCAAAUGCUGCCAAGCCAGGCUAAAUUUUUUUGUAUUUUAAUAGAGAUGGGUUUCACCGUGUUGCCCAGGCUGGUCUCGAACUCCUGAGCUCAGACAAUCCACCCGCCUCGGCCUCCCAAAGUGCUAAGAUUACAGGCAUGAGCCACUGUGCCCGGCCUAAUUUUUGUAUUUUUACUAGAGACCGGGUUUUGCCAUGUUGGUCAGGCUGGUCUCACACUCCUGACAUCAGGUAAUCUGCCGACCUCAGCCUCCCAAAGUGCUGGGAUUACAGGCAUGAGCCACCUUGCCCAGCCUGAGCUCAUCAAAAUAUUAAAACUAGUGCAUUUUUAAUGGCAGUGUAGACCUAGCACAUGGCUGGCAGUGUAUAACUGCCAGGUGUUUCUCCUCUUUUCCUCACCCUUUCUCUCUCUUUUUUAUUGAGGUGAAAUUCACAUAACAUAAAUCAAAUCAUUUUAAAGUGAACAAUUAAAUGGCAUUUUAUACUUUCCCAGUGUUGUGCAAUCACAUCUCUAUCUAGUUCCUAAAUAUUUCCAUCCCCCCCAGAAGGAAACGCAUCCCCUUUAACCACUCUCCAUUUCCCUCUCCUCAGCCUUCACAAACAACAAUCGACUUCCUGUCUCCAUGCAUUUACCUGUUCUGGUUAUUUUAUAUAAAUGGAUUUAUAUAAUAUGUGUCUGGUUCCAUUCACUUAAUGUAAUAUUUUUGAGGUUUUUUCACCUUGUAUCACGUUUUGGUAAUUCAUUUCUUGUUAUAUCUGAACAAUAUUCUGUUGUAUGAAUAUACCACAGUUUGUUGUCUAUUUAUCUAUGGAUGAACAUUUGGGCUGUUUCACCUUUUGAUGUUUGUAAAUUGUAAGUAGUGCUGCCAUGAACACAUAUGUACAUGUAUUGGUUUGAGUGCCUGUUUUCAAUACUUUUGAGUAUAUAACUAGGAGUGAAAUUGGUAUUCACCCUUUUUUUUCUGUUACUUCUCUUAAUGAUCUCAUGUCUGCGUGAUCCUUAAUGAUGCCCCGUUUUAAAAUUCCUGACAUUGUUUGUCACUAGGUCAUUUGUCUCUAGUUUAACUGAUCAAUCUUGACAGCAAUUUUUCACUUUUAUUAGUAUUUUAAGGAAUCAGCCUGUGGUUUUGAGAAUCUUGUCUGCUUAUACAUUUGAAUUAGUUACAAUGAUUGCUUUCUCUUUGGAUUUGUUUCGCCACUCCUUUGGUAAUGUCCGGAGAGAGCUUCUUAACUGACACGAACGGGGCUCCAUUGGUAUGUCCUGGGAUCCCUCGUCAGGCCUGUGCACUCCCAGACCUCCAAGGGCCGGGACCUGCAUUUUUGUCCGAGGGCCGUCCCCAGGCUGCCUGAACUUACUUAGCCUAUGGGCAUAGUGGGCUGGAGGUGCCUGGGAACUAACAGCGCCAGAGGAAACCUUUAACUAAAGACCAAAGGCUGUCAGGGUGUAAAUACUCUUCUUGCCCUUCGGCUGAGAUAAUUCUGAAGCAUAUUUUACUUAGUUUUCUAGAGUUCUUCUUGGUAAUUAAUGCAAUCAAGCUCCAGUCUCCUGCUGUGAUGACUGCCUUCAUAACAUACCCUUUAUUAUUUAUCUGUCUUCCCUCCGUAUCUCACUUCCUACCUGUUCCUACUUGUCUAUUUCCCUGUGAGGGACUGAACUGUGAGCCCCUCAGAUUCAACGUACGAAGCCCCUAAAUUUAUUUGUUCGAGUCUGAAGCCAAAGUACCUAAGAAUGUGGCUUUAUUUGGAGAUACAGCUUUAAAGAGGUGAUGAAAUUAAAAUGAGAUCAUGAAGGUACACUCUAAUCCACUAUGACUGGUGUCCUUAUAAGAAGAGAUUAGGACACAACACACACAGAGGGAAUCCCAUGGGCAGACACAGGGAGAACACAGACAUCUGCAAGCCAAGGGCAGGAGCCUCAGAAGAAACCAAACCUGCUGACACCUUGAUCUCAGAUUUCAGCCUCCAGAAAUGUGAGAAAAUAAAUUUCUGUUGUUUAAGCCACCUAGCCUGUGAUACUUUGUUACGGCAGCCCAAGCUAAUUAAUUCACUCCCAAUUAAACUGUUCGCCCUUGAAUCCUUGGCUCAAGGUCUGCUUCUGGGGAACCCAAGCUAAGAUUCAAAGUUUAUUGAUUUUUUUCAGUGUUUCUUCUUUUCUAAAUAUGCAUUUGAAGCUAUAAAUUCCCUUCUAAGCAAGGCUAACACUCUGAUAUGUAGUAUUUGAUAGUGUAAUGAUAAGUAUUUGUAGUAUAAUGGUAAGCUUUGAUAUGUAGUAUUAUUAUUUAAUUUGAAGUAUUUUCCAUUGCAAUUUCUAUUUAACCUGUGGCUUAUUAUAACUCAGAAGGGUUUCACAUUGGCCUUAUAGAUGCUCCAGCCAUGUGUGUCACUUCUGCUCACAACUCAAAUGACCAGAACUAGCCACAGGGCUCCACCCAGCCACAGGGGAGCAGAAAGCACAACCUACCGUGUUGGUGUUGCAUAGAACAUCUUUCUACAUGUUUCCUCUUGCGUAGGUGCUAGAAUUGCUUUAGAAUAGGCUAUAAACCUGGGGGUGGAGUCACUAAGUCAUCUUAUUAAACCCAUCUUCCAUUUUAUUAGAAAUUGCCAAGCUGCUUUCCAAAGCGGUUGUGUGAGUACACAUAUUGCCCAUGCACAUUGUUCUGCACCUUCACAACCCUUCAUAUUAUCAGACUUUUAAAAUUUUUUGGCAAUUUUGGAGGCAUGAAACAGUAUCCUUUUGCAUUUUAAUUUUCAUUUCCCUGACUAAUAGGCAGGUCAGGUUUGUUUGUUUGUUGUUGUUGUUGUUUGAGACGGAGUCUUGCUCUGUCACCAGGCUGGAGUGCAUUGGCACGAUCACAGCUCACUGCAACCUCCACCUCCUGGUUUCAAGCAAUUCUCCUGCCUCAGCCUCCCAAGUAGCUGGGACUACCGGCACCUGCCACCACGCCCAGCUAAUUUUUGUAUUUUUAGUAGAGACGGGGUUUCACCAUGUUGGCCACGAUGGUCUCUUGACCUCAUGAUCCACCCA
rnacentral:lncRNA from 1 species